AUUGCAUUUUUAUCUUGAUUUUUAUCAGGAAAGAAGAUUUAAGAAAUAUACAGAGAGUGACUCAUUUGAUCUAUUUACCAAAGCUGCAAACACACAGAUCUCUAGGCAGGUAGAGAUCAGAAGAGCACCCAAGAAAGGCAUUCAGAACAUGGUGCACUAGAUAGGUCUUGACUCAGGGAAAUGGAUUUUAGCAGACUUACUACUAUCCAUUCUCACAUUCCUUAAUACAGUAUUACCUUGAAAAAGAAAGAACAGAAAAUAAAUCAGUGCUGGCUCACAUGAAGUUAGCACUGAUUGUAUUUAUCUAAUACUAAAGAUCUGAAUUAGU